AUGACCUGGGACUGCGGCAAAGGGGUGUGGGAAUGGCCAGGAGGGAGGACCCCCUCGCUCCUCGCCCUCCUCUCCGCCGGGGCCGGGCCGGAGCACGCCUUCCGCCCCGGGGGCGGCGGAAGGUCGCUCCGGGUCGCCGGCACCUCCCGCACCCGAGAAAUCUGCCAAUUCACGACUCCCUCUCAUCUUCCGGCGAAACCCUCUCGUCCCGAGCAGGGCCAGCCCCAGGGCCUCACCUCCGGCCUCUCGCCGACUCCUGGGGCGGAUUCCCCCCCCCCCCUCCCAACCCCGCGCCCCCAUAAAGAGGCUGCCUCCCUUUCCCGGCGCAGGGGUCCAGUCUCCGCUCCCACCCCGCGCCUCACUCGCACGUCCCGCGGACUAGAGCCGUGCUCAAGUCCCGGCAACUUUCACCAUCUUGACCCGAGAGCCGGGCCAUUUCUGAGACAAUGUGAACAAAGGGGAGCGGCGGGGCGAGGGGCCGGCGGGCGGACUGCGGGGCGAAGGUGUGCGCGCGCGGGGGGCGGGGGGCGGCGCGGGGGGGGUCCCGGCGCCGGCCGGCUGUCCCGGGCUCCGAGCGCGCCGCCGCCGGGCUCCGGGGCCGGCCUGGCUCGGCGGGGCCCCCCGAGGCCCGGGGUGGCGAUUUCUUUCUUUGUCCCGGCCCGUGGCCGGGCGCGGAGGCCGCUGGCCGCGGGCAGGAAGCCGAGCCCGGGCUCCGGGGCUCGGGCUUGCGCUUGGGGCCCCGCGAGGCAGGGCAGGAAGGAGCGGCUGCGGGCCCCAGGGCGCCCCCCACGCGCCUCCCGCGCGCUCCCCCGACUCCGCGGCUGGCUUCCGACCGUGGGGGAGACCCCGGAACUCCUCGGUCGGGCCGCAACCGCCAGGGCGGCACGGCUCGCCCUCAACAGCGUGGCUGGGGGCAAAGAGGGAGUCCACUGGCGCGCUCGCCUCCACCCCGACCCUCCGAAGAUGCGCGCGCUAGUGGAACUCGGGGGCCGAGGCGGUUCUCUGGCGCCCCCGCUGCCGGCUGCACCGCGGUCUCCCGGAUCCGGGCUGCCAGGCUGGACCUAA
rnacentral:lncRNA from 1 species